rnacentral:misc_RNA from 1 species
UUAAAUAUUUUAUAAUACUCAGACAUCACAAAACAAAGAGUUGUGGUCCUCUGGCGGGCACAGUCAGCCGUGGCCAACGCCCGGAGGCGGCCCGCCAAAGCAACAGGUUAUAUAUUCAAGGGUUCAGACAUCCUAUUAUUCGAGAGGACCCGCUAUUAUUAAUGAUCCUUCCGCAGGUUCACCUACGGAAA